rnacentral:tRNA from 1 species
GGUUGUGGCUUAGCGGUAGAGUGCUUGUCUGGCACGCACGGGACCCUGGGUUAGAUCCUCAGCAUCA